GAUGAACGCUGGCGGCGUGCCUAAUACAUGCAAGUCGAGCGAACGGACGAGAAGCUUGCUUCUCUGAUGUUAGCGGCGGACGGGUGAGUAACACGUGGAUAACCUACCUAUAAGACUGGGAUAACUUCGGGAAACCGGAGCUAAUACCGGAUAAUAUUUUGAACCGCAUGGUUCAAAAGUGAAAGACGGUCUUGCUGUCACUUAUAGAUGGAUCCGCGCUGCAUUAGCUAGUUGGUAAGGUAACGGCUUACCAAGGCAACGAUGCAUAGCCGACCUGAGAGGGUGAUCGGCCACACUGGAGCGGAGACACGGUCCCGACUCCUACGGGAGGCAGCAGUAGGGAAUCUUCCGCAAUGGGCGAAAGACUGACGGAGCAACGCCGCGUGAGUGAUGAAGGUCUUCGGAUCGUAAAACGCUGUUAUUAGGGAAGAACAUAUGUGUAAGUAACUGUGCACAUCUUGACGGUACCUAAUCAGAAAGCCACGGCUAACUACGUG
rnacentral:rRNA from 1 species